UUAUCUCUUUCAUUCUUUUGUAUUCAUUUCUUCAUCCAUUUGAAGUUCUGAUUUCGAUUCAGAUCUACUCUAGUUCGUUUCUUUUCUCAAAUUUUUGUUAUGUUAUCCUUGUAGAUCGUGAAGUGAUCUACGUUCUCAGUAUGGCUUCAAUAGCUUUGCUGGGAUUGAUUGUUCGACGAGUGUUUGGUGCCGUCAACGGAGAAAAUCUGUGAAUCGCUUUGCAUCGAUGGAGCACGGUUAGAUCUGGGCUCAAUUCAGCUGACGGAUCAAUGUAACUCGCAGUUCUGUUGGAUAAAGAAAUGGCUUCUACUGACAAUUCGUUGCAGUUUACGCUCUUUUUAUGGUAUCUAUACUCGUCAUGGUGUCCGAGCAGAGACAUCUAUUCUUGUUGAUGCUCAAGGCCCGAAAUCAUUUGCGGAUGCUGGAUGAUGGACUUAGAAAGGAUAAAAAUUCUGUCUACAUGGAUACAAGGUUCUAACAUGUUUAAUGGCUUUCAUAAUUAUGAUUCAUUUAAUGUUAAUUCGAAAAAAUGAGCUAGAAGUAGUUGUGACAAGAUAUUGAGAAAAGAGAGGCUAUGUGUAAGAAAAGAGUGGCUUAUGUUCGUCUCGCCGACCUUUGCCAUGUCGGGUGCGCUCACAUGGCAGGUCAAAAGCUCAAUAAAAUACAUAAUAUUUUUGAUUUUGAGGAGAGAUGGUACGGGGAUUUUUGCCCGGCUCUCUCCUCCGCGUGUGGUGUCUUUUUAUUCUUUUCCUUUCCCUCCUCGUUCUCGUUUCUAUUGCUGCGAUAAUUUUAUUUCUGUUUGGUCCUUGAAUGGGUUGGGGCCUUUUCCUGUGUUACAAAGAUGUCAUGAAACCCGUUCAAGGAUAAAGCAUAAUUUAUUUUUUUCCCGGAGCAAAGUCACCAGUAAGUCGCCAAUGCCAGAAUGGGUCUUCUCAAGUAUCAACGAUUUCCCAAGGUACAAUGUUAGAUAUUUAUUAGAUAGCAUCUGAUUGAUUAAAAACAUUUCAAACUUACAAUUGUUUAGCCAUUCCAUCUCAUAUUAAAGUUGAGCGGUUAGAUAGGAAAGCUAUGUCUGCAAAAAUUAGGCUUUAUUUUGUGUUUCAAGAUUUAGCAGUUUUUGAUAAAAGUUUGUUAAAAUGUGGAGAACAUAAACGCUGCUUGUCCCGAGAUGUUUUUGAUAAACUUUCAGCCAUGAUAUUUUUUAUUAAACAAGCUACAUAUUAACUUGCUUAAUAUAUUGGUAUUUUCUUGACCAUGUACCAAACUUCUUGCAAUCUCAUGAUUUGAGGGGUAACUUCUCGGAAUAUCCUUACUAUCUUGGAUUUUGGGUAAACACUCAAUUGAAAGCUUAAGAAUUUUUGAAUGGUGAUCAUUUAUUUCGUCCAUCUAUAAUUAAAUACCAUUCCUGAAUUUGCCGAAGAAUAGAAAGGCUCAAAUCAAUUUGUUGUCAUAAUGUUUUGGUGAACGUCAAACAUGGUUAUUUGGCAAAUCCAAUUUUACCGGAGAUAUCAUAAAUAUGUUUCACAUGUAAUUUACAUAUGGCAAUGUUAACAAAAUUAUCUUAUCUACUAUCCCGAUCCUGAAUUCGUAACGUUCACUAUGAAGAUCAAUCCUGAGCAACUAACAAUUUUCGCUUCAAUUCAGUUGUAUAGUACAAAGUACGAGCGGAAUUUAUUGCUUGUUGUAGCUUUAUUUUUCCUGGUCCUAUACAUAUAUGAAUCUUAUUCGUACUGUUUUUUACCUGGUGUUGAAUUUAUUUUGUCAUUCUUGGGUCAUUAUCCUGCUGGAGUGUAUUGUAGAUUUAUUGGUAUUGACCAGAAGCCUUCUUUCUGUAAUGUAAUUGAAGGCCAUUACGCAUGGUAUGUAGAUGAGGAAUGCAGAUCUUUUUGAUUUAUACACUAGAUCAGCGUUUCUCCAUUUUCCUUCCAUGGGAAAAUGUUUGCAACUUUUUGUGUCAUGUUGGUUUGGAUUGCCUCACGGAGUGGAAAUACAUGAAGAUGAUCCUGUUUGUUUUUGCUGUUGAUCCGCUGCUGCUGCCUCUGCCUCUGCCUCUGCUGCUGCUGCUGCUGCUAUUGCUAUACUUGAUACUUCAAGAUGCCUCAUCCUUCAAAGCAUCUAGAACCUGUGGAUUGCGAUGAAUGUUUGUGAUAUAUCUCAUUUAAUGCUUGUGCCAUGUUCAUUCCUUUGUGCUGUCCCUGCAAACUUGCUGAAGGUGCGUGCUGCUGCUGCUUGAUAUCUAUGAUUUGGCCAGUCCUGUGUUACAAUAUGCACAGGCUGAUCAUCAAAAUUCUUCACUCUUGAUACUGUUUUAGUGAACUGUUAAUCCUAUAAACGAUGCUAUUUGUUGAGUUCCUCAUUCACAAACUGGUGGCCAUAAAUGGUGUUAAUGUUCAUGACGGUUGUUGAUAUGGAUCUUGUAUCGCUUUGCUUCUGCACUAUAAGUUGUUUAUGUCGAUAAUUAUUCGAGGCGGUUGAUCAGUUACAGUUAUUUGAUGUAGUUCAUGGUGGACUUGGGAUCUAUUUCGUUGUGUUUAUAGGGAUGAACAUUAGCCUUGGGAGAAAGUUAAGUGAGGUACAUGUCCAAGGCGCUGUUUUAAAACCACUGUAAGUGGGAAUACAUUUAUAAUUGUAUUUACAAGUAAUAUAUAGUCGAGAAAUUUGCGUGUUGAGGUUUUGAUUAUUUUAUGUAUUUAGAGGAGAAAAUAAGCUAUGAAUGUUUAGUAGUUUUCCUCAUCCCUAAGAACUGUCGACCAAACAUACACUGCCUUGAGGCGGGUACCUGCUCGAUGCGUA